UUUGCGGCAAGUAAAUCAGUUGGACAGGAAAUGAAGAGAUACAAGCAAUAAGGAGAGAGAUAGUAUCCCUUUUCUGAAGGCCUAAAAAGGGGUUGUAAGAAAUUACAAGAAAAGCACCUUACAUUGCGGAAUCUUAUCAGAAAACAAAUACACCUUAUAUUAAGGAAUAGAAGGAAUAAAAGACUAUUCACUCGUAUAGAAAACAUUAUGCAUUUUGGAAUGAUUCUUCAUGUGUAUCUGAAUAUAUGUUUAUGUUUAUUUAAGUCUACGAAAUUGCUUAUUUUCACCCAAAAAAGAAAAAUGAUAAAAGAAAACAAAUAGUAAAAACACAAAAGGCAAAAAUGUAACAUAAAAUAGUAAAGAAAAAUAUACAAAAUCUCUCCCUAAUUUUUCUAUAUCUAUACUACUAUUAAACAAGCAAACAUGUUCAUCACUAAACGCACCCCCAUAACGUACCCACAACAAUCCGGACCAACGAGAGCCACACGAUUGAAUCCACUCAUUUUAAUCUAACCCUUAAAAUAACAACUAGCCCUUAUUAAAUGUGCGUUUACCAAUUUCUUUGGCGGACGAAAACUCUGUCGCCCGCAUCCGCGCGAUCGGAGGUAAUGAUCCUCUAUUAUCUCUUUCUCCCAGACAAAAAGGAACAUCUCCCUCACCUGCACAGCUCUCCCCAAUCCCCACAUAUGCCCUCCCCGCUGCCCCUCUGCUCUUCGCCGCCGCCCCACGCGACCACGACCUCCCUCUUCUCCCUCGCCCCGCUCUGCCUCACCUGGUGCUCCCUCCUCUCCCCCAGCCCCGGCACGGCCUCCCGCUUCUAGACGCUCGCCUCGAAGAAGGCAGCCGCCUCCACCAUCCCCGGGCCCGACGAGGGCGUGGGGAGUGGGCUGCUCUUGGUGCUUGGACGGGUGCUCACCGACGAGGAGUAUCGCCGCGCGCGACCAGGUGCAUCGCAAGGGCAUGGAGGCGGAGGGGUACGCCAUCAAUGGGAUCUCGGUGGGCGGGCACGAGACCUGCGUAACUAUGUCGUCCCUGAACGUCACGUUCAACAUCGGCCGCGGCUCACUCUUUGCCAUGCGCCAGGCCCACCUCGACCGCAUCGCGGGUGAUGUACAGGCUGCGUGGCACCUUCUUCGUCCCAAGCCCAACAUGCCAUUGACCAGUACGAGCUCAAGCACACCCUCAUCCCAAAAGACGCUGACCAGUAGUGUGAAUUCAGGAGGGAUCUAAAGUACAUAGUUAAAUGACCAGAAAUGGCAGUUUCAGAGAAAGAGGAACAAGAAGCUCUUCUGGGUCUGUGUUGCUGCACCUGUACUUGCUGUUGCGCCAUCACGCCUGUAUUUAUCAGUUGGAUAUUGUAAAGCAUUAUGUGCACAUACGAGUCCUUGUAGUCAUGAAUUUUCGGUUUCCUAUUGUCCAUAAUAGAAAGUUGUUUUAUGCUGGUCUGAAUUAGUACUAAUACAUAAUUUUUUGUAGUCCGCAGAACCAAAAUCCAUUAGCCUCCCUUUUGCUGGUACUUAUAAUUUUAUAUUUUGCUAUGCAGAUGUAGAAUUGGAUUUAUGGAAGAAAAAUAAGAUUCAAGAGGUGAACCAGUUCACUUUUUUUCCUGCCUACACUCAAGAUUUUGGUGAAGAAAAUAAGAUUCGAGAGGUGAAGCAGUUCACCUUUUUUCUGCCUACAUGCCUAAUCAGAAGUUAACUCACUUCAGAAGGGGACCAGGAUUACCUUGAAUCAUGCUGGUUUGUGCGCUGCAAUUUGCAACUGGAGAGGUUCGAACGUCUGGCCAGUUCGGCACCAUCUAUUUGUCUGAACCUGAAAUUCAUAUGUCACUUUAGUUUUCGAGAUAGGCUCAACAGCAGACAAGGUGGCGGAUCAAUCACAUACCCACAUUACAGUAACUGCUAGCUAUACUAUAUGGAGCAAAUUGUUUGUCGUAGUCACCAGGCUGCGGAUGGCGUUGCGGGGGUACAUGCUCGCCAAGGUCUCCUGCCAUAUAUGCUUGUGAGGAGGGAUCCAGGGCUUGUUACUCUAUGCAAGAACAUAACCACUAUGGUGUCUUGGUUUUAAAAAUACAAUUUGAGUGGCAUCACAACAUUAAGUGCAUUUCUUCUCCAAGAAUUCCUUUAUUUUUAUCACAUCAUGUUUUUUAUCUAUUAUUUUUGACUUAAUUUAUUCUCUUGAGUGUUACAGAAGAGGUGUCUUUGAAGAGCUUAAUAACAAUUUAUUUGGUUGGAGCACACUGAUACUGCAUUGAAAAUGAUCGAGCAUCCAACCAGUGGAAAACUUCUCUUUUUGAUUGAAUCGAUCUAAAGAAGCAUAAGAAUGUACAGGAACUGGUGGUCCACCUUGCUGCUACAAAUGGACAGCCUGAUUUUAUACAUGUGUUUGACUAGAUGAUAUAUGAUGAUUUGAACAUUGCACCGGUAGGGUUUCAGCAACACUAUGUAUGAUCUAAACAAUGCCUGAAAAUAUUUAUUGGGGCAUUUGUUUCAAACAAAUUUGUUGAAAGAUAUUCCUAAUAUUUUAGUGCGUGGGAUAUAUACUGUUUAA